rnacentral:rRNA from 1 species
GCCGGUAAUAAACCGGACGGAAGGUGGGGAGUGACGUCAAAUCAUCAUGCCCCUUAUGACCUGGGCUACACACGUGCUACAAUGGUUGGUACAACGAGUUGCGAGUCGGUGACGGCGAGCUAAUCUCUUAAAGCCAAUCUCAGUUCGGAUUGUAGGCUGCAACUCGCCUACAUGAAGUCGGAAUCGCUAGUAAUCGCGGAUCAGCACGCCCGCGGUCGAAUACGUUCCCGGGCCUU